UACGUAGGGUGCAAGCGUUUGUCCGGAAUUAUUGGGCGUAAAGAGCUCGUAGGCGGUCUGUCGCGUCGGCUGUGAAAUCCCGAGGCUCAACCUCGGGUCUGCAGUCGAUACGGGCAAACUAGAGUACUGCAGGGGAGACUGGAAUUCCUGGUGUAGCGGUGAAAUGCGCAGAUAUCGGGAGGAACACCAAUGGCGAAGGCAGCUUGCUGGGACGGUACUGACGCUGAGGAGCGAAAGCGUGGGGAGCAAACAGG
rnacentral:rRNA from 1 species